AGUGAACGCUGGCGGUAGGCCUAACACAUGCAAGUCGAACGGCAGCACAGGAGAGCUUGCUCUUUGGGUGGCGAGUGGCGGACGGGUGAGGAAUACAUCGGAAUCUACCUUUUCGUGGGGGAUAACGUAGGGAAACUUACGCUAAUACCGCAUACGACCUACGGGUGAAAGUGGGGGACCGCAAGGCCUCACGCGAUUAGAUGAGCCGAUGUCCGAUUAGCUAGUUGGCGGGGUAAUGGCCCACCAAGGCGACGAUCGGUAGCUGGUCUGAGAGGAUGAGCAGCCACACUGGAACUGAGACACGGUCCAGACUCCUACGGGAGGCAGCAGUGGGGAAUAUUGGACAAUGGGCGCAAGCCUGAUCCAGCCAUACCGCGUGGGUGAAGAAGGCCUUCGGGUUGUAAAGCCCUUUUGUUGGGAAAGAAAUCCUGUCGAUUAAUACCCAAGCGUCAUGACGGUACCGGAAGAAUAAGCACCGGCUAACUUCGUGCCAGCCGCCGCAGUAACAC
rnacentral:rRNA from 1 species